rnacentral:rRNA from 1 species
CCUACGGGAGGCAGCAGUCGAGAAUCAUUCACAAUGGGGGAAACCCUGAUGGGGCGACGCCGCGUGGGGGAAUGAAGGUCUGCGGAUUGUAAACCCCUGUCAUGUGGGAGCAAAUUAAAAAGAUAGUACCACAAGAGGAAGAGACGGCUAACUCUGUGCCAGCAGCCGCGGUAAUACAGAGGUCUCAAGCGUUGUUCGUAAUCACUGGGCGUAAAGCGUGCGUAGGCUGUUUCGUAAGUAGUGUGUGAAAGGCGCGGGCUCAACCCGCGGACGGCACAUGCUACUGCGCGACGAGAGGAAUGGAGGGGGAACCGGAAGUCUCGGUGGAGCAGUGACAUGCGUAGAU